AUUCUGAAACGAGGAAAAUUGGUGAGGCAAAUUUUCAUGGGGUUUGCAGUUUGAAAAAAUUCUUCGUUGAGGAUAGAUCGCUAUUUUUUAGGAGUAAUUUUAAAUUCGAACGAGUUCAACGAUUUUUUCGUGAACAGAACAAAACAAAUCGAUCAAAAUGUUCAAGAGCCAUUUGGAAAUGAUUGGGCGCAACGAGAGCCCCAGCAAGAAGGCCAAGUUCUGGCAAUCCUACAUCAGAUCCCUGAAGGGCUCUGAGGAUAUCCGCGCCCACGAGGCGCCAAGGGCCUCUCGUCCCUACAGCUCCUACCUGGAGUCGCCCACAUACAGGAGCAUCUACGACGAGCCCUCCACCGCCAACGAGCGCGUCCAGUCCUCUGGCUACAGAUAUCUGCCAGUGAGCCGUGACACCUACGGCUACUCGCCACGUGCCAUCUACGAUCAUCACUACAGCCGAACAAUUCCAGCCAACUACGACGCAGAGAAGGCCUGGAAUGAUCAUCUGAAGCGCAUGCAGGAGAUCGAGCGCAGGUACCCAUCUCGCUAUGGUCUGUACCUGAAGGACAAGCCACUCACCCCCAACGCUCUGGUGCCCCUGGAGUACGAGCCAGAGGACAAGCUGCUGGCGGAGCUCAACAAGGCUCGUCGCUCGGCCUCGCCGUUCCGCCCCAGCCGCACCACCCGCGCUGGCAGCGAGCCGUACGUGCCCCCACCAACCUACUGGGGCCGCGAGGGCAGCGUGCCCCGCGGACCGUCGGUCUUCGACCGUGCCACCAGCCUGGCUCCGUUCACGCGUCCCAGCUUCCGCGCCAGCUCGCUGGAACCCCUGGAUGAACUCUUUGAAAGUAAGUUGCCCACGAUCGCCGAGGCUGAAUCGGCGGCAGCUGAUGUUGCCGCAGCUGCUGCUGCCCCCAGCCGAUCACUCGGUAUUUUCGAGCGCGCCGGCUCGCCAAGUCCCACUCCCGUCAAAGCCGGUCGCUGGGGACCCCGUCCCACUGAAGUCGCCUACGAUGCUGAGGGACUUCCGAUCUUCCACCCACGCAACCGCUUCAGGGAUCUGCUGAGCCCCAGCCCCAACUUGCCGGUCUCCUCGAUCGUGCGCGAUCCCUUCUGGUGGGACGUGGAUGACCUGGUGCCCUUCCGUGCCACCUCGGUGCCCCGUGCCUCGAGCCCCGUGGCCCGUGAUUCGUACUUGUCGCCGGUGAAGAACCGCUACUUGUGGUCCAAGCACCCAGCCAGACCCUUGACACCUGAGGAAGAGGAUUUUUUCUAAAAUAAAUCUAGAUACAAAAUCACAAAUCGUUUAGCUAUAAUAACAAAGCGACGCUAUAUCAAUCAUAUAGCAAUUCUGUAAUUUUUUUGUACUUAAUUUUACAUAAAUUACAUGUAACGAACUGUUAAAAAACAAAUUGCUCACCGCUCAAUUUUGUAAACGAACGAAACAACGAACUUUUAAACAACAAGAACAUCCUGAAGAACAACGACGAAUGCAUCACAAGGGGCCCCAAAACAACGAUAUAAAGCUUUGACUACCAUUUAUAACAUCUUGAGAAGUGGAGUCAACAGUAGCAAAAGGUUUAAAAACCUUUUUUUAGUCUCAAUAUCCUCAGACAACGUUUGAAUUUUUUCAAAACUGCAAAAAUCCUCCGAUGGAAAGCACCAUCCAAUCCUUGUCGGAGGUUUAACAAAAAAACAUUUGCCAAGAAGUGCGUAUUUCCCGUAGAUAAAAAAAAUAACAACAAUAUAAAACUCAAACUCUCUAUUAUUUUUAUUUCUGGAUUUCUAAGAUCAUGUCUUAAAUGUUAAGUGCAAGAAUAUGAAAAAAAAUCGAUUUACAUUUAUUAUAAUAAAAUAUGAAAACCAACUUAUGAGUGCCCAUCCGAACACCAGUGGGUAUCAUAAA